CCGCUUUUAGCUCAGUGGUCGAGCGUUGGCUUUGAAAGCCACAUGUCGGUGGUUCGAACCCACCAGGGCACA
rfam:Phytophthora infestans T30-4 supercont1.11 genomic scaffold, whole genome shotgun sequence.